rnacentral:rRNA from 1 species
AGUGAACGCUGGCGGCAGGCCUAACACAUGCAAGUCGAGCGGCAGCGCGGGGGCAACCCUGGCUUCGUGCUGCGGACGGGUGUGGAAUUCGUCUGUAUCUGCCUUUUUGUGUUUGAUAACGUCUGGAAACUUACGCUAAUACCGCAUACGUCCUACUGGUGAACGUGUGGGACCGCAAGUCCUCACGCCGAUUGAUGAGCCGACGACCGAUUAGCUAGUUGGUGGGGUAAAGGCCCACCAAGGCGACGAUCGGUAGCUGGUGUGAGAGGAUGAUCAGCCACACUGGAAGUGAGACAGGGACCAGACACCUACGGGAGGCAGCAGUGGGGAAUAUUGGACAAUGGGCGCAAGCCUGAUCCAGCAAUGCCGCGUGUGUGAAGAAGGACUUCGGGUUGUAAAGCACUUUUGUCCGGAAAGAAAAACAUGGAGCUAAUACCUACGGGGGAUGACGGUACCGGAAGAAUAAGCACCGGCUAACUUCGUG